UGGGCGAGAGACCGAUAGCAAACAAGUACCGCGAGGGAAAGAUGAAAAGGACUUUGAAAAGAGAGUCAAAGAGUGCUUGAAAUUGUCGGGAGGGAAGCGAAUGGGGGCCGGCGAUGCGCCUCGGUCGGAUGUGGAACGGUUAACGCCGGUCCGCCAAUCGACUCGGGGUGUGGAUCGGUGCGGAUUGGGACGGAGGCCAAAGCCCAGGAAGUCGUUAAGCCUGAGGAGACGCCUUCGCCCCGAUCGUGGCUGGCAGCGCGCGCCUUUUCGGCGUGCUUCGGCAUCUGCGCGCUCCCGG
rnacentral:rRNA from 1 species